GACGAACGCUGGCGGCGUGCUUAACACAUGCAAGUCGAGCGGAGAGGCGAACGGGCGAGCAACGCGUGAGUAACUGCACCACGCUCUGGGAUGACAGUUGGAAACGGCUGCUAAUACCGGAUAGUGGGGGCUGACUCUCGGCCUAUCAGAUUGUUGGUUGGGUAGUGGCCUACCACGGCGACGGCGGGUAGCCGGCCUGAGAGGGCGACCGGCCACAUUGGGCUGAGGUACGGCCCAAACUCCUACGGGGGGCAGCAGUGGGGAAUAUUGCACACUGGGGGAAACCCUGAUGCAGCAACGCCGCGUGCGGGAUGACGGCCUUCGGGUUGUAAACCGCUUUCAGCCAUGACGCGGUAGUGGCAGAAGAAGCACCGGCUAACUACGUGCCAGCAGCCGCGGUAAUUC
rnacentral:rRNA from 1 species